UCCUACUUUUCUCCACCGCUGCACCAUCAUGGCCAUCUUCAUCGUCGAUCUGUCCUCAAACAUCGGCAGUGGUGGGGCCUCCACCAUCCUCCACAUCAGACCGCCUCACCAUCAUUCCCUAUUGCCACAGUGUAGAUUAACUAGCCCACACCAUCUCAUCAACGCUACUCAUGCCAUUUUCACCCAUGAGAAGCCACACUCCUCUCCACUAUCAUCUCUGACUCCAUAACCUUAUCAACCAUGCAUCAUCUCACACAUCGUGACCCACUCUUCAUACACGCCACCAUCGCUCCUUCAUUAUGCCCCCACCAUGCUCUCCUCCAUCAGUAACCAUCUUCACCGUCCUCUAUCACACUACUUCGUGGAUUCUUCAUAAAACCCAUACUCUACUGUCGGUCUCUUGGCUGUCGGAUUUGAAAAUCAAAAUUGAAGGUAAACUUUCCCAACAAUUUGUACAGUAAUAGUUUCAUGUAGAUUUUGGGUUUGGUAAUAGAUUAUAUUGGGCUUUGAUAUUGAAUCACACUAUUUAUUAGGCUUAUGUUAGAUUUGGGUUUGAGGCAUGUUUUGGGCUUGACUUUAAUUACUGAGGUGUACUCUACUUGUUGGUUUGGGUUGUUGCUUUAUAUAUUGAAUUAGGAUUAAGAUAUGAUUGGGUUUGGUUUCUAAUUAUUGAGAGGAUUUUCGACUUUAGGCAUUUGGGCCCUCUGAAUCAUUUAUUUUAUUAUUUUAUUAUUUUAUGUUUAUUUGCAUAUAUUCUGUAGCAUUUUGAUUUUGAUUUUACUAAUAAUUAUAUAUAUAUAUAUAUAUAUAUAUAUAUAUAUAUAUAUAAUAUAAUGUAAUAAAAGCAUAAAAUCUUUUUUUAAUUGAAACUAUUUUUUAACAAAACUAAAUUUUGAAACCAUUUGUUUACAAAUAAAAUUAUAUUUUUUUUUAGAAAAUAAAAUGAAGUUAUAAAAAUAAUUUUUCUAAAUAAAAAUCUUAAAUCAUUUUUUUAAAUAAAUAUUGUAAAAGGCGUUUUCUUGUAAAUAAAAAUUGGAUUGAAAGACUUUUUUUUUCUUUUUGUAAAUAAAAUUAUAGAAAUCAUUUUUUAUGUAAGUCAUUCUCUUGUAAAUAAAAUGGAAUUGAGAUAUAGUCAAGCGCAAAAUCAUUUUCUUUAAAUAAAAAUUUGUAAAAAUUAUUUUCUUGUAAAUAAAGUGAAAUUGGAACAUUUUCCUUAAAACAGAAUUGUAUAAAAUGAUUCUUUCUCUAACAAAAGUAAAUAUUUUUUUUUGUAACUAAAAUAAAUUAAAAUCAUCGAAUUGGAAAUGAUAUAUAUAUUAUUAGUUUAAUAAGUCUCUUGUCCAUUAUUUUAUAUAUUUUUAUAAUAUGUUAUUAUCAUGCCACCUAUUCUUUCUCUUAUCCAUUUGCUCAAUAUGCAUUGAUUAAUUAAUUAAAUAUCAUAGUUUAUUCUACUUGUUUAUUAGAGACCAUAUUUAUUUAGGUUUAAAUGAGUGUUACGUCUUAUUAUCGUAUCUUUUCGAUAGAUAACUUAAUCCCUAAAUUUAUUAUUUAUUCACAAACUUGUCUUUUCUAAAUAAGAAGUCACUCUUAGGAUUUUUUUUUUUCUCUUAUUUUUAUUUUUCCUUUUAAAAAAUAAUAAAACAAGUGGUGACUCUAACUUUAUAAAAAUCAUCAAAAUAAUUUUUUCAUUGAAUUUGAGUUACGCCAUCGAGUGAGGAUAUAUGUGAAAAAUGUGGAUUUACAAAAUUGUGACUUCACGGGGAUGGUUAAAGGGUCAAGUUAGAACUCAAGUUGGGGGAAAAUUGGUGUUUUAUUUAUUGACUGAAGGACGCUCAUCUCAUGUGCCUUUUGUUGUAUGUAUAUUAGCUAUUUCAUUCAUUUGUGUGUUAGGACACCUGAGAGGCAUGUUGAUAUUGUAUUUAUCUUAUGUGAUUGUAUGAUGUUUGCAAUUACCACCCUUCUUCUGCUUGUUGCAUGUUACUGUCUUUGCAUGUGUAGGUGGAACACAUAUAUAUUCCUUCAUUUUCAAGUAACCGGGCUAAGUCAAUCUUAUGUUAGAGGAGAUCACCACAUCAUCC
rnacentral:lncRNA from 1 species